rnacentral:rRNA from 1 species
ACGCCGCAAGGCGUGGCAUACGGCUCAGUAACACGUAGUCAACAUGCCCAAAGGACGCGGAUAACCUCGGGAAACUGAGGAUAAACCGCGAUAGGCCAGGGUUUCUGGAAUGAGCCACGGCCAAAAUCUAUAUGGCCUUUGGAUUGGACUGCGGCCGAUCAGGCUGUUGGUGAGGUAAUGGCCCACCAAACCUGUUACCGGUACGGGCUUUGAGAGAAGGAGCCCGGAGAUGGGCACUGAGACAAGGGCCCAGGCCCUAUGGGGCGCAGCAGGCGCGAAACCUCUGCAAUAGGCGAAAGCCUGACAGGGUUACUCUGAGUGAUGCCCGCUAAGGGUAUCUUUUGGCACCUCUAACAAUGGUGCAGAAUAAGGGGUGGGCAAGUCUGGUGUCAGCCGCCGCGGUAAUACCAGCACCCCGAGUUGUCGGGACGAUUAUUGGGCCUAAAGCAUCCGUAGCCUGUUCUGCAAGUCCUCCGUUAAAUCCACCUGCUUAACGGAUGGGCUGCGGGGGAUACCGCAGAGCUAGGAGGCGGGAGAGGCAAACGGUACUCAGUGGGUAGGGGUAAAAUCCAUUGAUCUACUGAAACCACCAGUGGCGAAGGCGGUUUUGCCAAAAC